CGGCCGGGCGGGUAUUGUGACGGGGGCGGGAGGGAGGCUGAGGCGGCGGCGGCGGCGCCGGCCGGGUGAGCCGAGGCCUUGCCCUGCUUGCCCUCCGCGGCCUGGCCUGGCCCAACCCCUCACUCACCCCGGCCUUCCUUCGGUCAGUUUCCCGCUCCCCCCCCCUCAUCCCGCGUGGGAAGAGGAACGGAGGGAAGAGGGAGAAAGGCAGAGGCGCCUGAGGGAGGGAAGGUUGAAGGGCAGGAGCCGCUUGUGAGGCGAGGGAGGAGCAGGAGACAAAGGAUGGGCGCCCGUCCAGAGAUUAUAUGCCAUUUUUAAAUAAUAAUAAUAAUAAUUCGACAGGUUCACACACAAGCGUGCCUCUGAACAUGCACAGAAUGCACGCACCUGCGCGCGCACAACUUUUUUAUUUACUUUUUUUUUUCAAGUCUCGCCCCCAGAAGCUUCCCCAGAUCAAAGGCAUGGCUUCCACCCAGGAAAGCCCAAGCCUCCUUUUUAAUAAAUGGCAGGGUGGCACCAGCCCUGACAAAAGAGAGAGAGUGGGGGGAACUUGCCCAGUUCCUUCCAGAACAAACUUCUGCUGAAAAUCUGCAAAAGCACAUGUGAAUUUCUCUCCAAAAGAAAAGGGUUUUUUUGUUUGUUUUGUUUUACAGUGCUUCCUGGAGAGUUGCCUGGAAAAGGUUUCUUGGGUGAGCAGGCCAAGUUGCCUUUUGCAGGCUGGGGCUAACUUACCCCUUGUCAAUUUUCAGCUGCUCACCAUCAGGUUUCUUAAAAGUGGCAGAAAGGAGAAAUGUCUUCCAUCUUUAUUUAAUUUGUAAACCAUCCUCCAUCUGAAGAUCCCAGGGUGGUUCACAACACAAAAUGCAUAAUAGAACACCCCCCACCAUCUAAAAAGGCCAUAGAAUGUUUAAUCAGUUCAAGGCCUGUUUAUGUUAUGAUAUAUAAUGAAAGUGCCAGGCGAGCCGCCCUGGGGAGAACAUUCCACGAGUGGGGAGCCACUGCAGAAAUGAGGCACACAAAGAAGGUCCUCAGGAUGACCGUAGGAUCCAUUCAUAUGGGGAGAGGCAGUCCUGAGCCAUUUAAGGCUUUAUACACUAAAACCAGCACUUGGAAUUGGGCCUGGAAACUUAACUGGCACUGGCAGCUGGUGUAGUCAGGCCAGGAUUGUUGUAAUAUGCUAAAACUAGCGAAAACAAAAGGAAAACUAAAAGGCCAGAUGAUGUGGAUUCCUAACACAACAAGUGUUAGGUGUGCAACCUGGCCACCAAUUUCUGCAGCAGCUGAAGUUUCCAAACCACCUUCAGAGGCAGCCCCAUGUAUAUAACACAUUGCAGUAAUCUAACCUAUAGCUUACCAGAGCAUAGGGGACAGAAGUUAGGCUUUCCCUGUCCAGAUAUAGGCACUACAUUUCUGCACCUUCAGAGGGAGUGUAACCGCAUCAAGAGCAGACAACAUCCCAUCUAGCUGAUCUAGGGAACGGUCCACUAGGGUUGCCACCUGUCCUUUAUAAUACAGGAUUGUCCCGUAUUUCAGUGGAAAAUGCUAUGUCCUGCAUUGAUACACUUUUGUCAUGUAUUACAGGUCGUCUCUGCCCCUGUGUGUGUGUGUGCGCAUGCCAAGUUAGGGAUCCUCUCCAAAUGCAUGUUUGAAAGAGUGUGUGAGAGGUCAUGUCUUUAAGCUCUGGGUAGCCAAGCACAGAAGGAUUUACAAAUUCAUGUGCACGUGUGUAUGUGACAAAUUCCAGAGGGGUCAUCCUGUUAGGCUGAAAUAGAUUGUAAUGGGUUGCUUUGAAGUCACUUCAUAUUUUUUUUGGGGGGGGGGGGGAGAUCACAUCCCCAACCACCCCAGCCUGUCCUGUAUUUUGCCAGGACAAAGGUGGCAACCCUACCGCCCACUAAGAAUGCCUCAGUCUUAUCUGGAUUGAGCCUCACUUUGUUAGCUCUCAUCCAUUCCAUUACUGAGACAAGGCAAUGAUCCAGCCCAUCCACUGCCCCAUUUGCAGAUGUAAAGGAGAAGUAAAACUGUCGCCAGCAUAUUGCUUACACUGCAGGCUUCCUCAACCUCGGCCCGCCAGAUGUUUUGAGACUACAAUUCCCAUCAUCCCUGACGGCUGGUCCUGCUAGCUAGGGAUAAUGGGAGUUGUAGGCCAUAAAUAUCUGGCGGGCCGAGGUUGAGGAAGCCUGGCUUACAGUGUUCUCCAUAUAUCUGUACCACAGCAGUGGUUUUUAAGACUUUGUUUUAGGGACCGCUGGGAUUCUUCAAACGUAAAAGGGGUUCCUUGAGGAGAUCAGUAAUGGCAGGCAAGCUUCUUCGAAGGACAGGUUGCGAACCAAUCUUGAUCUUCCUCUGCAGUGUGCAGGGGGGGAUAUCGGGAGCACAUGGGUCAACUCAGACUCCAAAGCUCUACCCUAGAAUAUGCCCCACGUCCUCUGCAGUACACAGAGGUUUCAUGGCAAACGUGGCAUUCCACAGUGGAGAAGCCAACAAUGUUUGAAAACUGGUGAUUUAGAGUGGUU
rnacentral:lncRNA from 1 species